AUGUUGGGAAAGCUGUCUUCCGAAUUCUUGCCAAUUAUUCAACGUUGCAGAUUCAUCCUGGAGUUAAAUAUCGCUAAUACAUUGAGAUGUAGCAUUAAACGCGAAUAUGUAAAGUCAUCCACUUCGCAUGCCAGAAUAAAUGAAUCGAUCGUGGAAGAACUGCGGACGAUCUUCAAAUUUAAGGACACCAAGCUCAGCAACUGGAUUGUAGAGAAUAAGGCAUAUGCAUUAUGCGCCAGGUAUACAGAAAGCAACAAAAAAGAUCGUCAGCGAAUUUUGCGGACGCUGGCUUCGCAGUACGCUGUCCAACGUGACUUUGUAUGCCAAACAGCAAACAAGUACUUAGCCUGUAAGUCUGAAGAUAAAGAGCAGAUGAUUGUUCAUGAGAGAAUGCUGAGGAAUGUUCUUACACCAGCUUAUCACUGGUUGUUUGUUAUUAUAGGAAGGUUGCAGCAUGGUGUAAAGUUCUUGGUUAAUCUGAGAACCGAUGUUCUGGAACUAUUGUCAGAAAUGGAAGACAAUGAUGAAAGUAUAAUGAUACAACAGUUGAAUAAUACUUUGCAAAAUCUGCUUCUGCUUUGGUUUUCAGUAGGUUUCUUGCACCUGGAACGCGUAACUUUGGAAACUGCAUCUGAUAUAUUGCAAAAGGUUUCUGAUUACGAAGCCAUACAUCCUACAAGAAAUUGGUCGGAGUUGAAACGUAGAUUUGGACCUUAUAGAAGAUGUUACAUAUUUACGCAUCCAUCGAUGCCAAGAGAACCUCUUGUUCUCUUGCAUACAGCACUGUGCGAUGUUAUACCAGAGACUCUAAAGGGUAUCGAUGAAGCUGAAACUAGAAUUCUGGGAAGUGCAAAGAAGAAUGUAACAUUCUUAGAAGAAGAUAAAUCGAAAAUAACAGCAGCGAUAUUUUAUUCUGUAGCAUCCACUCAAAAAGGAUUGCAGGGAUUCGAGCUUGGUAAUUAUCUGAUAAAAGAAGUAGCUAAUGCGAUCACGACUGAAUUUCCAGCAGUGCAUCUAUUGUUCAGCUUAUCACCCAUACCGAACUUCAAGAAUUGGUUACUCGGAAAAUUGAAACAAGAUAUGGCCUUAAUACUUACCACACAAGAAUCCGAAGUUAUGAAAAACAUUUUGAAAACGAGGGAUGUGGUAUCAGCUUUAAACAAAGUUCUGAAUAAUUCAUCGUGGAUAGACGAUACGCAGUUAUCACACUUUUUGAAGGAGCCGCUACUUCGAGCAUGCGCGUGGUACUUGUACAAGGAAAAGAGACGCGGCUAUGCUUUCAAUAACGUUGCUAAUUUCCAUUUACGUAAUGGUGCUACGAUGUGGCGGAUAAAUUGGAUGGCUAAUCCUUCGUCGAUUGGACUAGCAAACAGUUGCGGUAUAAUGGUUAAUUAUAGAUAUUUCUUGGACAAAUGUGAGGCGAACAGUCGAAAUUACAUUGAAAAUUUCGUCAUAAAUGCCUCAGAAGACGUAAUCAAUCUCGCCAGACUAGCGGAAAUGUCGAGAUUAUGUAAUACAGUUCUGAAAGAAUCAUAAAAGAAUCAUAUAAUAAAUAAGGGGCUAUGAAUGAAAGAAUAUCACAAGAUAAUGACCAUAACGAUGAUAAUAAAACAUGAUUGAUGCAUGAAUAAUCAUAUAGAAGAGCAUGGAGAAAUAAUCGACAGGAUCGAUCGUCUUCAAACAGCAUUGAAAGUACUAAAUUACACAGUUUCCACUCUAUUUGUUAAUACUUAAUAUAUUUUACAAAUCUUUAUAUAAAACAGAGAAUAAAGUUGCAUAUAUAUACCUGUA
rnacentral:misc_RNA from 1 species